UACAGAGGGUGCGAGCGUUGUUCGGAAUUAUUGGGCGUAAAGGGCGCGUAGGCGGUGCGGUAAGUCACCUGUGAAAUCUCCUGGCUCAACUGGGAGCUUGCAGGCGAAACUGCCGUGCUGGAGUGUGGGAGAGGUGCGUGGAAUUCCCAGUGUAGAGGUGAAAUUCGUAGAUAUUGGGAAGAACACCGGUGGCGAAGGCGGCUCACUGGCUCGUAACUGACGCUCAUGCACGACAGCGUGGGGAUCAAACAGG
rnacentral:rRNA from 1 species